UUGUUGUAUUCAUUAGAGGCAGGAGCGCUUCACUGACUGUUCAGACUUGCUGGAGCUGGAAAGAAAGGACCGGAGGAUGUUGGAGCGUCGAAUGGCAGAGCUGGAGGAGGAGCUGAAGGUUCUGGUCGACCUGAGAGCAGACAACCAGCGUCUUAAGAUGAAAAUGGAGCACUGAUCCGAGUCAUCAGCAAGCUCUCCAAAUAGAUGGGGAGAAAGAGACACGAAGAGCAGGGAUUCCCCCUCACCCUCUUCCUCUAUCCCUCCAUCCAUCCCUCCCUCCACCCUGCUUCUACACAUUCCUCCCAGUGCCAAAGAGUGUGAGAGAGAGGGGAGAGAAGCAGCAGAAUGUCCUAUGUACAUGAACACCACAGCUUGACUUGGAUUGUGAUGCCUUUCUGUGAACAGCGGGAGUGGCUUUUGUGUGCCUUGCGGCCCGUUUGUCACAGGAAGACCUAUGGAAUGAAGGCCUGUGGCUACAUUCAGAGGCUCGACAACAGCCAGAAAGCUACGGCUGGUGCAACACAACACAUCUACGACAACUGUGCAUCAGGGGAACACUAACAUGCACACACAUUCCUAUGCGUGCAUCACUCUUUCCUCCAUGCACAUUCCACGAGCGCACAAGGCAGCUUGGGCCUUAAAGUUCUUACUUUAGUAUUUUUUUUUUGUGAACACGCUCACGUCACACAUUUACAAAUUUACUCCCCUCACAGUUCAAAUCUAACGUGUUGUCAAGCAGUGACCAAGAUUUUGAUUGGUGUAGUAAAAAACAGCUCUGUAACGCAUUUCAGCCUUGUCUUACAUUCAGCACGUACGUCUGAUGACAGGGGGAAGUCCACGAAACUCUGUUGGGUUGUUUUGUUUCCACAUGCAAAUGUUUGAAACCCACCUACCUCUCCACCUAUGCACUUCCCCACAUACAUUUUUGUUUUUGUGACCACAGACACACUCCAUUCUCUUAAAAUGACCGCAGAACCAGGUCAGUCGACCACAGCACUUUACUCUCUGCAAAGCUGUAAAAGAUGUACGUUGACGCUUUGCCCGUCCUCCAGACAGACAAACUCAUUUCAGAGCAGCACCGUCUCGCUUAGUGAGUGGAGGGAGAAGUUACCCAUAGAAGGUCAAAGGUCAUUGCACAAUUCCAGAAAUUGCUGUUCUGUCAAAGCCUAUUAUGCUAUGGAUGGUUAUUACCAAUGAUAAGAUUAUUGUCAUAGUUUUUCAUUGUCAAUUCCUCUCUUGUAAGGGAGCAUGGUUAUGUAUAUUAUAUGUGUAUAAAUAUUAGUCUUGGAUAAUACCCCCUUUUGAAGUAAAACUCAUGUAGCCUUUCUUCACAUGUUGGUUUUCUAAUAUAUUGAAUGGCUGUCUGCACCCUAAUAAAAGUCUGUAGUGACUGCCUGGUUA